UACGUAGGGGGCAAGCGUUGUCCGGAUUUACUGGGCGUAAAGAGCGCGUAGGCGGCUCGUUAAGUGUAGAGUGAAAUCUCUGGGCUCACCCCAGAAACUGCUCUGCAUACUGGCGAGCUUGAGUGAUGAAGAGGUUUGUGGAAUUCCUGGUGUAACGGUGAAAUGUGUUGAUAUCAGGAGGAACACCCAUGGCGAAGGCAGCAAACUGGUCAUCAACUGACGCUGAGGCGCGAAAGCGUGGGUAGCAAACAGG
rnacentral:rRNA from 1 species